CUGCUGCCUCCCGUAGGAGUCUGGGCCGUGUCUCAGUCCCAGUGUGGCCGUCCACCCUCUCAGGCCGGCUGCUGACCGUCGCUUUGGUGGGCCGUUACCCCGCCAACUGGCUAAUCAGACGCGGGCCCAUCCUGUACCACCGGAGUUUUCAAAGGAUUACCAUGCGGUAUUUCCUAUUAUGCGGUAUUAGCACCUAUUUCUAAGUGUUAUCCCCCAGUACAGGGCAGGUUGCCCACGCGUUACUCACCCGUCCGCCACUAAGACAGA
rnacentral:rRNA from 1 species